UAAUGAUUUUAGAUGGAUUAAUAAUUGGCUACAUUUUCUUUUACCUUCCUGGCUUCUGCUGUCCCACUUUUUUGUAUUGGAAGUGUAUGUCUUUACUUUCUUAAUUUUUAACUUACUCUACAAACCUGUGAAUUUACUCUGGAUCAUGGAGAAUUACCUGUAGGGUUGACAUAACCAUCUAUCCCUUCAUUUAAUUAUUAUUUGUUCUUUGUUUUAUAGGGCCCAAAACUGAUUUCAAAAACUCGUACUGCUUUGGGAGUUUAAAUUACUUCAGAGGGAAGAGGAGAGAGUCUCUGCAGUUUGGUGUGAACUCUUGUUUAAUUCCAAAUAGUAAUACUUUGAAUUAAUGAAAUGAUGAAGAUUUUUAUGUGAGAUUUCCCCUGUGAUAGAAAUAAAAUGUCUCCAAAAUGUU